rnacentral:tRNA from 1 species
GCGUCUAUAGCUCAGUGGCUAGAGUGCUGGUCUAGUAAACCAAGGUCAGGAGUUCGAUCCUCCUUGGAGGCA